AUGGCUGACAGCUGGGAAAAUCCCUGUGCCCCCGCGCAGCCAGCACCUCCUGAAGCUACUUCUCCAGCUGAAGGACGUGGCGAUCUUGAGUACCAUGGAGUUAAAUUCCUGUCCCCUUGCAGCUUUUAUUGCUUCUCUUACAGCCGCUGUGCUGCCUUGAAUGAGUCCUCCGCGUGGUGCUGCUGGUGGAGGUGGCUGGCACUUCAGCCAGGAGCUGGACUCCGUCGGCCCAACAUUGCUAUGCAUUUCAUUCGUACCUGUUGCACUACACGUGACGUUCUUCAGAGACCAGUUGGAUCUGCAUCUUCUUGUGUUUGCAGAUGCACAGCCGACGUCAGAUCUGGCAGCAAGGUGCGUGCCACCCAGCAAAGCCCUCCUGUGCAUGUCCUGCUGGGUGCAAAGUAGAAAG
rnacentral:lncRNA from 1 species